GACGAACGCUGGCGGCGUGCUUAACACAUGCAAGUCGAACGAUGAAGCCCAGCUUGCUGGGUGGAUUAGUGGCGAACGGGUGAGUAACACGUGGGCAACCUGCCCCAAACUCUGGGAUAACUCCUCGAAAGAGGUGCUAAUACCGGAUACGAACUAGACAGACAUCUGUACUAGUUGGAAAGUUUUUCGGUUUGGGAUGGGCCCGCGGCCUAUCAGCUUGUUGGUGAGGUAACGGCUCACCAAGGCUACGACGGGUAACCGGCCUGAGAGGGGGACCGGUCACACGGGGACUGAGACACGGCCCAGACUCCUACGGGAGGCAGCAGUGGGGAAUAUUGCGCAAUGGGCGAAAGCCUGACGCAGCGACGCCGCGUGAGGGAUGAAGGUCUUCGGAUCGUAAACCUCUUUCAGUAGGGACGAAGCGAAAGUGACGGUACCUAAAGAAGAAGCACCGGCUAACUACGUGCCAGCCGCCGCGGUAA
rnacentral:rRNA from 1 species